rfam:Schistosoma mattheei strain Denwood, Zambia genome assembly, scaffold: SMTD_scaffold0006113
GCACUGCUGAGGAGUCCCAAAAUAGGACAAAACAGUCGUCCAGUGC